rnacentral:rRNA from 1 species
AAUCAACGCUGGCGGCGCGCUUAACACAUGCAAGUCGAACGGGAAAGUGGAGCAAUCCAUGAGUACAGUGGCGUACGGGUGAGUAACACGUGGGUAAUCUACCUCUUAGUGGGGAAUAACCCUGGGAAACCGGGGCUAAUACCGCAUAAGCCUGAGAAGGGAAAGCAGCAAUGCGCUGAGAGAGGAGCCCGCGGCCGAUUAGCUAGUUGGUAGGGUAAAGGCCUACCAAGGCAGAGAUCGGUAGCCGGCCUGAGAGGGCACACGGCCACACUGGCACUGAAACACGGGCCAGACUCCUACGGGAGGCAGCAGUGGGGAAUCUUGCACAAUGGGGGCAACCCUGAUGCAGCGACGCCGCGUGAGCGAUGAAGCCCUUCGGGGUGUAAAGCUCUUUCGUCAGGGAAGAUG